rnacentral:lncRNA from 1 species
UCAAGCACCAAAUUAUAUGAAUAUUGAACAAACCAAAGACAAAUAGUUUAUGUUCAGAUCUCACAAUCCAUAAAACAACCUCAGUUUCAACCAAUCUUUAACUAGAAUUAAAGGUUUCAACCACUCAUGACUGAAACAAAACAGAAAAUAAAAGGAAAGAACUAGAGAAGAUGAACCGAAUUAGUGGAGAAGCUUGCUCCUAGCCUUGGCCGAAUGGGAGAGAUGGAAGGGGAUGAAUGGAUUCUGUCGUGGCUGGCCUUUUAGGAGUCUUUAAAUAUGUUUCAAGAUGCUGAUCUAGGGUUUCUUGGCUGUCCAUGAGUUUUUAAGAGGCUGCCCAAAUUGCCCUUGACUUUUACUUGCACUUUACCUUGCCGCCCAUGCACAUGUGUGAGGGUGUGGCGUGUGGCUUGUUUUCAAUUGCAAGGAGUGGGUCUUUUGGUCUUUGCUUGCUGCCCUAGUGUCUUCAAGAUGCUGCCCAAAGUGCCCAAAACUUGCCUUCACACCAUUCUUGCCGCCCAUGCACAGAUAAGGAAGGUGGAGCCUUCCUUUGCAAUUUAAAUUUUGAAUGUGCAAAGCAUGUGUGGCAUAUGUGACUUCUUUGGCUUCUUUGGUAACCUGAAUCUUGAAAUUCAAAAUUUAAAUAUAAAUCUUGAAUAUUUGAAUUUCAAAAUACUUUCCUUAUUUAACUCUUCUUUCAUGGCAACUUGAGACUUGGCUUCUUGAAUAAGGAAAAGGCUACUUAGAGAUUUGAAAUUUGAAUUUCAAAUUGCUUUAGCUGAAUGUUCUUUCCUUCUUUGCCACUUUUCUUAUUUAGAACUUUCCUUAUUUAGCUUCACUUAAUUUCAACUUGGCAGGCUUGCUUCCUUUUGCUCCAUUUAAGGCAGUUUUAAGGGUAUUUUCUCCAAAAUGUCCUUUUUCACUAAUUUCUGCAAAAUAAUAUCAAAAGCACUAAAUUAAGCAGAAAUCAUGUAAAUAAUCGUCAAUAAUAUCAAGACAAAAUGGACUAAAAUAUGCUCUAUCAAAUACCCCCACACUUAGCCUUUUGCUUGUCCUCAAGCAAAUAAACAUAGUCAAACAAGCUUUCUUUGCUACUUGAUCCUUAUUUCCACUUAACCUCUUACUCUAGACACCUAUUUUGAAUCAUUGCAGUGAAGAAUAUAUGCAUCAAGGUUACUCACCUUCUUUCCUUGUUUCCCUUUGCUUACCAUGGCUAGGAUUUGUUUUCCUCAAGAGAGAGAUCAUACAUGCACAUAUUAUUUGUUCAGAUAAGACUUUUUCUAGCUUUCAGAGUGACUUGCCCUUACCUUGAAGUACUUUAUUCAGCCUUUUUGCACUUUAAUCUUGCUUGAAAAAAUCACCAACCUUUUGAUGCGAAGGUAUAUAUUUUCAGUUGGUCACCUUUCCAAGUGGCUACUAGCUCUGUUCAUAGUUUUUCAACCAUUGGAACAGUUUUUUUUUUGUGCUUUUGAAGUCUAAGCCUUCGUUGAAUUUCUUUCUCUCAAUGAUUUGGGCAAAUCAACACCAAUUGCUAAAGUCAUGUUAAGUUCAUUCACACAAUUUUCAAUUUAUUCUCUCUAAUAAGUGUCAUCAAUAUAUUUUUCACCAUGGCAAGCUCAAAAAUUCAAUUCAAAAGGCAAUUCUCAAACAUGAAUAUAACUCACUGCAAUUGAUUCAAUAUAAGUUUAAAAAGUCAUCACAUCAAUGGGGUCAUAGAAAGAAAAGCUGAUCCAACAUAGUUAAUCAGUUUGAGUAGAGCAAAUCAAAAAGAAGAAGAAGGUUGUGGUUAUGUGUGUGUUAUUGAAAGCAUGAAUGAAAACAAACUAAAGGGAAAACUGUAAGCAAAAAUUUGCAUGAACUGAAAUAAAAUAAAGCAGAAGUCGCAAAUCUUAAAGAAAAAGAAAAAAAUUUCACAGAUCUAAAAUGAAAAAGAAGAAGAAAGAGGAAGAGAAGAAGGAGAGAUAUGCACCCCCACACCUAAAUCAUGCAUUAUCCUCAAUGUGUAAAAAAAACAUAAAAGAACAAAGGAAACUGAGUACUCCCCUGGGGUGUGGUAAGCAUGGUGUGAUUCCUUAGGCAGAAUGAGUGAUGAACAGAUGUUCGUCUGGGAAGUCUUCCUUGACUGGACAAGGUGUAGAGCUAGAUGGAAGCCGGCUGAGGUGGUCGGCUACAAGAUUUUUUUUUCCCUUUCUUGUCUCUUAUCUCCAGAUCAAACUCUUGUAAUAAAAGUAUCCACCUAAUGAGUCUUGGUUUGGUCUCUUUUUUCUUGAUCAGAUAUCGCAAAGCUGCAUGGUCAGAAUAGACGAUGACUUUGGUUCCCAAGAGAUAUGGUCUGAAUUUUUCUAAAGCAAAUACAACAGCUAAGAGCUCCUUUUCUGUUGUUGUGUAGUUGCUUUGUGUAGCAUCCAGUGUGCGAGAGGCAUAGUGAAUGACGUGGGGUGAGUUCCCCACACGUUGUCCCAAGACUGCUCCCACUGCAUAGUUGCUUGCAUCACACAUGAUUUCAAAAGGCAAAUUCCAAUCAGGUGCUUGAAUAAUUGGGGCAGUCACAAACAAUUUCUUUAUCAGAUCAAAUGCUGUUUUGCAACCUGCAUCAAAAUCAAAUGUCACAUCUUGUUGGAGCAAUUUACAUAAAGGCUGAGUGAUUUUUGAGAAGUCCUUUAUGAAUCUCCUGUAGAAUCCUGCAUGACCAAGGAAAGAACGGAUUUUUAAACAUUUGUAGGAUAAGGCAGAUUUUUAAUGGUAUCUACCUUAGCCUUGUCUACUUCAAUUCCUUUAGCUGAAACAACAUGUCCUAAAACCAUACCUUGAUUAACCAUAAAAUGACAUUUUUCAUAAUUAAGUACAAGGUUAGACUCAAGGCAUCUCUGUAGGAUCUUUUCCAAGUUGGCAAGGCAUUCUUCAAAGGAGUUGCCAUGCACUGUGAAGUCAUCCAUGAACACUUCAAUUGUCUUACCCACAUAGUCAGAGAAUAUGCUCAUCAUGCAUCGCUGAAAGGUGGCAGGUGCAUUGCAUAAUCCAAAUGGCAUUCUUCUAAAGGCAAAAGUGCCAAAAGGGCAAGUGAAGGUGGUUUUCUCUUGGUCCUCUGGAGCAACUGGAAUCUGAUAAAAACCUGAAUAACCAUCAAGACAACAGUAAUGGGACUUACCUGCAAGUCUUUCUAGCAUCUGAUCAAUGAAAGGUAGAGGGAAAUGGUCUUUCCUUGUGGCUGCAUUUAGCUUCCUAUAGUCCAUGCACACUCUCCACCCAUUUUGAAUUCUUGUGGGAACAAGUUCUCCUUCAGCAUUUGGGACAAUACUAAUCCCAGUUUUCUUUGGGACUACAUGCACGGGACUCACCCAUUUGCUAUCAGAGAUUGGGUAGAUAAUACCUGUAUCAAGGAGCUUAACUAUUUCUUUCUUCACUACCUCCAUCAUAGGUGGAUUCAAUCUUCUUUGAGCAUCUCUGACUGGCUUGCAUUCCUCUUCUAUGUAUAUUCUAUGCAUGCAUGUGGAAGGAGAAAUGCCUUUUAUGUCAUCAAUGAUCCAUCCUAUGGCUCCUUUGUGUUUCUGCAGUACUUUCAAGAGGCUUGCUUCUUCAUGUUGGCUCAAUUCAUUGGACACUAUUACUGGUAGUGUCUUGUCAGCUCCCAAGUACAUGUAUUUCAGAUGGCCUGGAAGAGGCUUUAGAUCUGAUUUUAAUGCUUUCUGACUUGUUUUCUGCGUUGGAUAUGUUUUAGCUCUACCUUGCGCAAGGCUUGACUGCAAAGGGGGACUGGAAGAGCUCGCUUGCGUUGGCGACUGAGGAGGUGCGAUCGGAAGCUGAAAGGGUGUGUUGGUGGUGGAGUCAGUCUGCGCAAGGCCUUUCUGAGGUGGUGCGACAGAGUUUUCUUCAAUCUGUGCUUGACUGCAAUUUACCGGUUGGAUGCUACAGACUGUCUCUUUCAAUUUUGGCUCUUUCUGGCUCUCAUUCCUGCAAAGAUCAUCAUUCAGAAUACAAUCUUGAUUCUCAUCAAAUAUUUCUUGGCUCAAGCAGUCAAUAAUAUCAAGACCAUAAACAGAGGACAUAUCAUGUGGAUAUUUCAUAGCAUCAUAGACAUUAAAUUUAAUGACUUCCCCUUCAAACUCCAUAGUCAAUGUACCAUCAUGCACAUCAAUCUUAGUCCUAGCAGUACUCAAGAAAGGACGUCCAAGAAGGAUAUCAGAACUAGUAUUGUAACUUUCUUCCUUAGUAUCAAUCACAUAAAAAUCUGCAGGAAAGACAAGUUCAUCUACUUGAACUAACACAUCUUCUAGAACACCUAUGGGAUAUACCACAGAUAUAUCAGCUAGUUGAAUCACAACUUUUGUGUCUUUCAGUGCACACGCAUUCAAAGAAUUAUAAAUGGAAAGAGGCAUAACAUUUAUGGAUGCACCAAGAUUACACAUAGCUUUCUUAAUUCCUACAUUCCCUAUAUUGCAGGAAAUAGCAAACAUACUUUUAUCCUUGCAUUUAGUAGGGAGCUCUCUCUUAAUAACAGCCGUAACAACUUCACCUACACUUACUUUCUCUCUUUUAGCUAGCUUUCUUCUAUUGGUACACAGUUCUUUCAGAAAUUUUGCGUACCUGGGAAUCUACUUAACAGCAUUUAACAGAGGUAUGUUGAUUUCCACUUUUCUGAAAGUCUCAAGGAUAUCCUUUUCUUCCUUUUCUUUUUGUGUUCUUUCAAAUCUUUUUGGAAAAGGAGGUGGAAUGCAAAAGCUUACUUUUUUAUCAGUCUUCCACGCAGGUGGUGUUUCAGAUUGCGCUGGAGAGGCUUCAGGUUGCAUUGGUUCUUGUGCAAAUGGUGUUUCAGAUUGCGCAGGUGGUGCUCUUCCAUUAGUAUUGACCUCUUGUAGCUCCUUCCCACUUCUCAAAGUAAUGGCACUGACAUUCUGUCUGGGGUUAGUUUCAGUUUGAAAAGGAAGCUUACCUUGGGAUUCAACUUUGCUCAUGAAUGCGGUUACUUGUCCCAUCUGUUGUUGGAGAGUCUGCACAGAGCUUGUAAGUGUCUCCAUCAUCUUUUCGAGGUGUUGAUUUGAACUUGAAGGUGCUGGUUGGGCUUGAUUCCUGUAGUAGUUUUGAUAGUUCUGAUUAUUGUUAGCCCUUUCGUAGCUGAAAUUGGGAUGGUCUCUCCAGCCUGGAUUAUAUGUGUUGGAAUAUGGAUUAUGUCUAGGCUAGUUGUUAUAUCCUCCAAUGGCAUUAACUUGCUGGUUGUCUUCUUGAAGAGUAGGACACUGAUCAGUUGGAUGUCCUACAUAUGCACAAAUCCCACAUGGCCUAGGUGGCUGGGAUGCUUGAACCUGUUGAACUAGUCCAAUGGCAAAGUCUUUCAUAAAAGAUGUCAGUUCAGAGAUAGAAGGUGAACUUACCUCAUUGACUCUUCUCUGCAGUUGUUUUUCUUCUCCAUAUUGCCUAGAUGAGGCUGCAAGUGUUGAGAUCAACUCUCUCAUCUCCCUAGGUGUCUUGUCUGCAAUGGAUCCUCCACAGGCUACAUCAAUGAAUCUUCUUUCUGAAGAAAGCAGUCCUACAUAGAAGAAUUCUAUGAGUGCCUUAUAUGAAAUAUCAUGUUGAGGACAACCUGUACACAAACUUUUAAACCUUUCCCAAUAAUCAUAAAAGUCCUCAGAUAGUUUCUAUCUAAUGCUACUGAUUUCUCUUCUUAUACCAAUAGCUUUAUGAGUUGGGAAAUAUUUAUUCAAGAAGGUUAUUACCAUGUCAUCUCAAGAAGUAAUAGAUCCAGGAGGUAAGUAAAACAGCCAAUCCUUAGCAUAAUCAUCAAGUGAAAAAGGAAAAACUCUUAACUUAACAUGAUCUUCAGAAAUAUCUUGAGGUCUCAUAGAUGAAUAGACAAUAUUGAACUCUUUCAAGUGUUUGUGUGAAUUUUCAUUUUCUAAUCCUCUAAACUUACGGAGGAGAUGAAUCAAACCUGUUUUCAGUUCAAAGGGAACUGUCAGAGGUGGAUAGGUGAUGCAAAGUGGUGCUUGAUCGCCUAUAGGUGUUGUCAAUUCUCUCAUGGUUCUUUCUCUUGGCAUUGGUGUUCUCAUGGUUGGAUUUUCUUGAAUUAUUUGGUCUUGGACAGCAUGUCCAUUAUGGGCAGCAUGUUGUGCACGAUGUUCAGCCAUUGGUGUGGCUUGAUGGUGCGGUUGGAGUGUUUCAGAUGAAGCUUCUGCGCAGGGCACUCCUUCAGGUGCGAUGGGAGCUUCUUCAAGCGGGACUGCUUGCUUUCCUAGUCUUCUGAGAGUGGUCAUGAAAGAAAAAUAAACAAGUUAGAACAAUUCUCCGGCAACGGUGCCAAUUUUUGACUCGCGGUUGUCGAAACCGGUCAAAAAUAACAUUUUCGGUUAUCAACAAUAUUAAUACUGCAGAUAGUGGUAAAGGAUCGAAUCCACAGAGAAUUGAUAACUUAUCUAUUUUCCUCAACAAGACCAAGAGUAUUAACUCAAAGUGCAACUGAAAGCAAGUAACUGAAAGCGGAACAAACAUAAAGUGCAAUAAAAGUAAAAAGGUGGGGGUUUGAGAUUGAUUUGAUUAGCAAACUACUGAAAGCAAUUAAAUGAGCAAGUAAUUAAAAUAAAAGAGAAAUCUAAUAUGAGAAAAAUCUAGUUAAAGAGAUGGAUCCACUUUGGUUGUUUGGAUUGAUCAUUGAAACUUAUGUUCUCUUGAUUGUUUCAAUAGAUUAGUUAUGGAGAUGGAAAACGCUUCUCACCACCAUGUCUCUACUUAUGAUUAAAUCAAUUACUAAUUAACAAAUUGCUAAGGAAUGUCAUUGGGCCUUAGGCAUCAAAACAAUUGUCAAUUGCAUGAAAAAAUAGAGAGAUCCAAUCCUAGCUACUCAAACGCAUGAGAUGUUGCUAGAUCAUACAAUUCUUUAGUUGUUAUACCAAGUGUUCUUAUGUUUGAAUAAUUCCAGCAAUUACGGACUAAAAAUUAUCCAAACUAACAAUCAAUUACCUUGCAAUCAAGAAUCAAGUGACCAAUUUGAUCAAAACAACAAAGUAACAAUGGAUUCAAGCACCAAAUUGUAUGAAUAUUGAACAAACCAAAGACAAAUAGUUUAUGUUCAGAUCUCACAAUCCAUAAAACAACCUUAGUUUCAAUCAAUCUUCAACUAGAAUUAAAGGUUUCAGCCACUCAUGGCUGAAACAAAACAGAAAAUAAAAGGAAAGAACUAGAGAAGAUGAACCGAAUUGGUGGAGAAGCUUGCUCCUAGCCUUGGCCGAAUGGGAGAGAUGGAAGGGGAUGAAUGGAUUCUGCCGUGGCUGGCCUUUUAGGAAUCUUUAAAUAUGUUUCAAGAUGCUGACCUAGGGUUUCUUGGCUGUCCAUGAGUUUUUUAAGAGGCUGCCCAAAUUGCCCUUGACUUUUGCUUGCACUUUACCUUGCCGCCCAUGCACAUGUGUGAGGGUGUGGCGUGUGGCUUGUUUUCAAUUGCAAGGAGUAGAACUUUUGGUCUUUGCUUGCUGCCCUUGUGUCUUCAAGAUGCUGCCCAAGGUGCCCAAGACUUGCCUUCACACCAUUCUUGCCGCCCAUUUAUAAAUAAAGAAGGUGGAGCCUUCCUUUGCAAUUUGAAUUUUGAAUGUGCAAAGUAUGUGUGGCAUGUGUGACUUCUUUGGCUUCUUUGGUAAGCUGAAUCUUGAAAUUCAAAAUUUGAAUAUAAAUCUUGAAGAUUUGAAUUUCAAAAUACUUUCCUUAUUUGGCUCUUCUUUCAUGGCAACUUGAGACUUGGCUUCUUGAAAGAGGAAAAGGCUACUUGGAGAUUUGAAAUUUGAAUUUCAAAUUGCUUUAGCUGAAUGUUUUUUCCUUCUUUGCCACUUUUCUUAUUUAGAACUUUCCUUAUUUAGAACUUUCCUUAUUUAGCUUCACUUGAUUUCAACUUGGCGGGCUUGCUCCCUUUUGCUCCAUUUAAGGCAGUUUUAAGGGUAUUUUCUUCAGAAUGUCCUUUUUCA